rnacentral:rRNA from 1 species
AUACGGAGGGGACUAGCGUUGUUCGGAAUUACUGGGCGUAAAGCGUACGUAGGCGGAUCAGAAAGUAUGGGGUGAAAUCCCAGGGCUCAACCCUGGAACUGCCUCAUAAACUCCUGGUCUUGAGUUCGAGAGAGGUGAGUGGAAUUCCGAGUGUAGAGGUGAAAUUCGUAGAUAUUCGGAGGAACACCAGUGGCGAAGGCGGCUCACUGGCUCGAUACUGACGCUGAGGCGCGAAAGCGUGGGGAGCAAACAGGAUUAGAAACCCUAGUAGUCC